GUAAAUCCUCGAGUUAGCCCCCAUGGGUGCUUAUUCAUUUUUGAUAUUUUUUGUAUGGGGGCUUAUUCCAGGUGGGUUCUUCGACUUAUACGAGGGGAGGGGCUUAUAAAAUUAUUGAAGACAUUAAGAAGAUAUUAUUAAAAGAUUUCGUUUAUUUUAGUAGUAAUUUUUUAUGCGCAUUUAAUCAAUUAUUACCAAAAGUAUGAAUUUUUGCGGUACUUAAGAAAAAGCGCCAAAGGCAACCUUAGAUGGCAAAAACCAGCAAACUGAGGGGUCCGAUUCGAGCAUUAACGGCAGCAGUGGGGGCUUAUUAAUAAUUUGUAGUUCUAGGGUGGGGGCCAAUUCGAGGAUUUAGUGAGAUUAUCAUGACCCCAUUCGAGCACGGGCCCCAAAAAUGUGCCCCUCCUAAGCCCUCUUUUAAGUCGCAAACUGUGGUCCUGCUGCUACCCUCUAACAAGUCCAACACUGUGCAUUUUCUGUUUCAUUUGUCAAAAAAUUCCUUAUAAAAAACCUCUCCAGCCUGCGAGUGCACCCGCUGGAGACGUCAAGAGAGGAGCUGUGUCUCGUUCUGCUUGCACUGGUAAACUAGUAACUAGCUAGCGUGCACUAGCAUAGCGUGACCAUUUGGGCAAAUUAGCGGACGGGAAGAACAAUUGUUUGGAAGACAAUAGGUAGUCAAGUGACAUGUCGUAUUUUUACAUUGUCACAGGAUGUGAAAGAUUUUCAAAACAACGGGAAUUUGCUUGAAUGCACAAAGGGAGUCAAACUCGAAUUUGCUCCGCGUGUACAAACCCCCGUUCACACUUCUGGCGCGCAAAACAUCAGUUGGUUGUAACAACACCAACAGCAUUAGACUUAUCAGGUCCUUUCCCGCCCCAAAAUUAAUUUUGAUUGAUUGAUCAAAUUAUUUUUCGAAUGACAUGCCGAUUUUGAUAUGUUUUAAAGGGUGUUCAGCGGCUUAAUGGCUUGUUCUUAGGGUGUUCUUGGGGUGUUCUUGGGGUGUUCAGCCUGUUCUUGGAGUGUUCAGUCUUUUAGAAACGACGACUUCAAUAGAUGAGGUGGGUCAAAGAUGGUAAAAUAUUUUAUAUCCUACAUUUCUAAGAAUGGCCUAUCAACAAAAACUGCCAGUGAUUCAUAAAAUCGCAAAAAGUUGGAUCCCUGAUCACUAACUGUUGCAAGAGCAUUCAAGCCCAUUGACUCUAACUGCAAAUUUUUUUCUUCCAUAAUAACCUUUGAAAUAUCCUUGUUGCAAGAUUCAUUCACUAAAUAAUAAAAUACUGGUUGUUUCCAGCCUUCAACAAAACCACGAGCCAUAAAAACCAAAGCAGAGUUGGCAACAAGAUUUGACUUCUUACCUUAACCAAGAUCUACAAAAGGAAUAAUGCAUUCACUUUUUUAAAACAAAUUUGACUUCAAAGAAAUUUCAUCCAUUAAGGGUGUUCUAUGCGUUCAAAUUCAUUAGCAACCAAACAUUUUGUGAUUUUGUGAAAAGUGGUUUAUCUUGGGUAAAUUUAAUAUAGAAUUCGAUUCUAAAACCAUUGCAAUAUUGAUUCAUUUUCAAGGUUUUCAUUGGUUUCUGGAUGCUACUUGUUUCUGAACUCCAUAGCAAUCACUGUCGUUGUUGUUGCUAUGGGUGAAAAACUGCUAUAUUUUCCCCCAGAGUCCGAUUUUUUAUUCUAAUUCGUGAUAUCCUUGUGGUAGUGCCUUCACUCAUUACGAGGCCAGUUUUAAAUGCAACUCAAUGGUGCUUAUAGGAAGAAAAUUGUUCUUAGGCCAACAUUUUGUGAUGCCAUAUCAUACUAAAUGAUUUCCGAAACAAUACACCAUGGCACCAGUGAAAUCUCGAGCUGUUUCGUCAGCGAAGGCAAAAAAGAAGAGAAAAGGAUUUAGGGAUGUUCAGAAACAGUUUGUAAACUGUGGAAAUGGGGGCAAUCAGACUGCUACAACUACAAGGUCUGCUGAUGAUGAUCACGUAGCAUCCAGUGGUCAGUAUGAUGAUUCAAGUAAUGUUGGCAUUACUGCCACUUAAAAAAAUUUCUAAACAUUAGAAUUCAAAAGAAUCACUUUAGAAGGGCAUGAUGACAUCCUUUCACAAUGACCAGAACAGCAGAUUUGGGUCUAAACACAAGUUCCACAAGUUCAAGUACUGUUCAUACUAAAGGGUAUGCUCUAAUCGAUCUUGACCUUCUUGCCAGUUUUAUCAAGAACAAUUUGACAUGUAAGCGAUGCCUCAGUAGAAGGCCAUCUUUGGUAAUGCUCAGUAGCAAGAAGAAAAGAUAUGGUUUGGCAAUAAAUUUUGGUGUUGAGUGCAGCAAUUGUUCAAACAAGAUACAAUUUGAGAGUAGCAAAAAUUUGGCUGGUAGGUCCUUUGAUGUUAAUCGAAGGUCAGUUUUGGCAAUAAACAACUUGAAAGGGGGCAAACAAACCCUUGCUAAACUUUGUUGUACCAUGAACCUGCCACCACCAGUGUCUUCAAAUGCUUUCAAUUAUCACCUUAGCAAAUGCUCUAAAGCAGCUUGUACUGCAGCUGAGAAGAUCAUGAUUGAUGUUUCCAUUCGAUUAAAAGCAGUCAUGAAAUCCAAAAAUCCUGACCUUAGGGUUGAUGAUGUUGGUGGUGCUAUCCCUGUUUCAGUGUCUGUGGAUGGAAACCGGCAGAAAUGAGGCUACUCUUCCAAACUUGGUGUGGUUUUUGUCAUUGGUAUCAUUGUCGAGACAGGUUAAAUCUUGGGUUAUGAGGUACGGUCCUUAUUCUGCCAAGAAUGCAAUGUUAAUGAAAGAAAAAAAGAAAAAACCAGGCAAUUAAUAGAUUGGAAGGAGAAUCAUAGAGAAAACUGCUUGAUAAAUUAUAGUGGCUCAUCAGGAGGAGUUGGUAGUGAAGGUGCUGUUAGGAAUUUGACAGAUCAAUUGCUAGAAGAGGGCUAAAAUACACAAUGUUUGGAGACAGCAGUACUUUUCAAGUAGUAAGUCAACCGAUGAAAAAAAGUAUGGGUCAAGAUAUGAUGUAAAGAAAGAGGAAUGCCUUGGACACAUUCAAAAACGAAUGGGUAAUUCUCUGAGAACUUUACUCGGGACAUGAAAGGCAAGAAGCUUGAUGAUGGAAAGACUGUUGGUGGUGCAGGACGCCUUCAAAAAACAAAAUUGAUGCACUUCAAAGGUAUUAUGGCAAAGCCAUCAGAGAGAACACCGAUGCCUCUAUAGCAGUAAUGCGAGAUGCCAUUUGGGCAAUCUUCUUUCAUUUUAUUAAGAAUGACCAAUUAUGCUCAGAUGAGCAGCAUACAUUUUGUCCGCAAGGGAAAAACUCUUGGUGCCAGUAUGUAAAGAACAAGUUGCUUGGCACAAAAAGAUAUGAUAAUUCCGAGAGAUUGCCACCUGUCUUUUCUGAAUGCUUGAGACUAAUUUUUGAGAAGCUCACAGCUGAAGAGUUACUUAGUAGAUGUCAAAUGGGCAAUUUUGGUCAAAGGUCAGUUGGGACAUACAAUACACAUUGAGGAAGCAGAAAUAUUCCAAACCCCGCUCUCAGCAGUUUUCAAACAUCUAACGUCAGUGGCACAUGAAUUUCUCACAAAGCCAGGAAGCCAAGCCAUGGAAGUGGUCAAAUGAUAGAAAAGACAAGAUGCAAUGAGGCUUGAUUUCAAAGGGGGGAGCUAUGUAACGACACAGGGUUCGCUUACAGACAGUAUCACGUGACAAUUGCACCAUUGCGCUGUGAUUGCAUCAGCGUCUGUAAAUAUGUUUUUUUGUAUUACGUAAUUAUUAUUUUUGGGUUGUUUCAUAAGUUAGGAGUAAUCUUGUUGAAAGUUUUGCCGUACUGUCGCUAGUUUUGUCGUGCCUGUUAAAGCCGUGUCGUUACUUGUCGAACUUUUUGUUAGCCGUUGGUCGUAUCAUUGCUGUAAGAGAACAAUUUUGAUUUUAUCUACCGUUGCCGUAUCUUUGAGCAUUUCUGCCUACAAAGAACUCACGUUUAUAAAACCCACCUUUCAAGAGGUUUUACACAAGGGCUUGGUGGCCUAUAACCAGAUGGUAUGUGGGUGGGUUUGUGAUGUUGUUUCGAAGAAAAUUGAGAGGAAAUGCCUUGUGAAAGCAAAGGUAAGUAGUUUUAGGCCCAGUAGGUCAUUCAUUCAUUUCAUAUUUGAUUCUCCUUUCUGAGAUACUUUUUUGCGUUUUCCAUCAGUGAGUAAUCUAUUUGUUCUGCUGAAAGUUGAAAUAGCAUUCUUGUUUAGUUAUUAAUUACAGGGGUCUUUUAUUUUAACUCUCUUUAAUUUUUGCAGGUCCUGCAUUCUCAGAAGUUAAGUGAGAAGCCAUUGCAGCCAUGGGUUGUUGCAGAGAUGGGUGGUAGAAUUUUGAGUUGCCAAUGUGUUGCUGGACUAGGAGAAACUUGUACACAUGUUGCUGCCCUAUUAUUUUCAAUUGAAGCAAUGGUCAAAAUGAGAUUCAAAGACUGUAACCCAAGGAAGAGCCUAUUGGCUUCUUCCAAGUGCUAUGAAGAAAGUAGAGUAUAAAGAAUGUAGAGUAUAAAGCAAGCUUUUUGGAAGACAUUGGCCAAGAUUUUGCGUCGGCCUACCUUGACGAGCCACUGGCUGGUGAGGAAUACAUGCGUCGGUUCAAUCAAGAAACAGCAGAAAGAGUGCAGAAAGAAGAAAAAUUAAAAAAAAGAUUUGAAAAUGCCAUCGAUCUAGAGAAUUUUGAUAUUCUGCCUCAAAAAAUGGUGCUUGAAGCAAGCUGCUGACAAAUAUAAGAUAAGAGCAGGACAAAAGUAUGACAAAUCAGGAAAGGAAGAAAGGUCUGUACAGUUUAGGGAUACAGAAUUCCAUAAAAAUAAUAAGUGUUUAUUAAAAAAACAAAUAAAAAUGCACAAAUUAUGUUACAAUGUGAAAAUGUAUUACAAGUAUUUAUCUUCAGUCGACUCUGUUAACACAAUGAAUACUGAAUUAAGCAUGUUUUUACCUUGAUCAUGUACAACAAGGGGGCUUUUAAUAAACAAAUAAAACGCACUAUAACAAUUUCUCCAUAACAUGAUUACAAGGCUCUUAUGCAAGAGUGUAAUACAAUCUUGUGACAAUGAACAAUUAAUAUUGUUUUGUAUUUUAUAAUGAUUCUACAUCCAAUAUCUCAAACAGAUUUAUUUUUAUCUAGGUUGCUGACAGUGGCGGCUUGGGGCGGUAUUACUGUUAUUAGUCUAAUAGCAAUUCUUUUCCAGCAGAAAGUUUUCUUGACAGAAUAUUUCUUUAUCAUUUACAAAGCACGUCCGAAAUCAAAAACCGAAUUGUUUCCGCUAAUUCCUUUCAAGUAGACAGACACCUCACAUGCCAUUCGUGACGUACUGCAUAAAGGCGGCUGAUGCCAAUUGCCGCAACCACUACCCAGGAAUGUUGCUAUGCUUAUGUCAAACAGACGCCUCACGCGAUACUGAAUCACGCUAUAAAAGUGGCCCUGCUAUUCGCCGACCCAUCUCUUUCUCUGUUCUCAGAUAUUUUCUCUGCUUUCCUCACAAAGACAAUUAACACACCAACAACGACUUCGUUUGAAAGCUGAUGGUCGACCAUGUCCAAAGGUGACUUUAAAAAACCGAUCCUCUGAUGUUGUGUAUGAAAAUUUUUCUUAGAUAUGCAGUGAUCAAGAAAAAAAUACUUACUUCUGUUGGCCAUGCUUAGUGAUGGGAGAUCUUUCAAGAAUGAAGAAACUUUCAUUUGUUCAAGAGCAUGGUUUUCAAUCCUCUGGCUCUAACCUUUAGAAUAUCGCUAUCUGACACCAGGCCUCAAAAGUUCAUAUAGCAACUCACGUGACCUAUAAUGUUUUGGGUAACACUGACGUUGCGAGUGCAUUGGACGAAGAAAGACAAAGGCAAAUUACGCAACAUAAUAAUAAUGCCACACUCUAUGCCCGUAUGCUUGAAAAUCACAUCAACGUGAUAAUUUUCUUAGCAGGGCAAGGACUUGCCUUUUGGGGGCACGACGAAUCAUCCCUGUCAUCUAAUAGAGGAAAUUUUAUUGAAUUAUUGGAACUUAUUGGAAAAUACAGCCAGGAUCUGAGAGAAUUCUUAACAAAGCAGCAUGUUACUUACACAGCACAUGAGCCUCAGAACGAUUUGAUUAAGUGUAUUUACCAAGAGGUCCGAGCAGAAAUUCAACGACGAAUUGAUAACUCAGAAUUUCUGGCUGUUAUGAUGGAUGAUACCAGUGACACCAGCAACAUUGAGCAAUCAGCAGUCUCAAUUCGACUUAUUUAUGAUGGAAAAGUAGAGGAGCACUUACUGGCAAUGGUAAACUCUUCAGGCAAUCAAUCAGCAGACGGACUGAGGGCAAUUGUCAUGGAAACAUUGAAAAGCUACAACAUUACACCAGAAAACUGUGCGGAAAAACUUGUCGGUCAAUCCUAUGAUGGAGCCCCAUUCAUGAGUGGUGAAUUGAGUGGGGUGCAAAAGCAAAUACAGGAUAUAUUCCCUUUUGCAUACUACAACCACUGCGUCGCACAUAGA